rnacentral:rRNA from 1 species
CCGGAAUUACUGGGCGUAAAGAGCUCGUAGGUGGUUUGUCGCGUUGUUCGUGAAAUCUCACGGCUUAACUGUGAGCGUGCGGGCGAUACGGGCAGACUUGAGUACUGCAGGGGAGACUGGAAUUCCUGGUGUAGCGGUGGAAUGCGCAGAUAUCAGGAGGAACACCGGUGGCGAAGGCGGGUCUCUGGGCAGUAACUGACGCUGAGGAGCGAAAGCGUGGGGAGCGAACAGGAUUAGAUACCCUGGUAGUCCACGCCGUAAACGGUGGGUACUAGGUGUGGGUUUCCUUCCUUGGGAUCCGUGCCGUAGCUAACGCAUUAAGUACCCCGCCUGGGGAGUACGGCCGCAAGGCUAAAACUCAAAGAAAUUGACGGGGGCCCGCACAAGCGGCGGAGCAUGUGGAUUAAUUCGAUGCAACGCGAAGAACCUUACCUGGGUUUGACAUGCACAGGACGCCGGCAGAGAUGUCGGUUCCCUUGUGGCCUGUGUGCAGGUGGUGCAUGGCUGUCGUCAGCUCGUGUCGUGAGAUGUUGGGUAAAGUCCCGCAACGAGCGCAACCCUUGUCUCAUGUUGCCAGCGGGUAAUGCCGGGGACUCGUGAGAGACUGCCGGGGUCAACUCGGAGGAAGGUGGGGAUGACGUCAAGUCAUCAUGCCCCUUAUGUCCAGGGCUUCACACAUGCUACAAUGGCCGGUACAAAGGGCUGCGAUGCCGCGAGGUUAAGCGAAUCCUUUUAAAGCCGGUCUCAGUUCGGAUCGGGGUCUGCAACUCGACCCCGUGAAGUCGGAGUCGCUAGUAAUC